rnacentral:rRNA from 1 species
UACAGAGGUCUCAAGCGUUUGUUCGGAUUCAUUGGGCGUAAAGGGUGCGUAGGCGGCGCGGUAAGUCGGGUGUGAAAUCUUGGAGCUUAACUCCGAAACUGCAUUCGAUACUGCCGUGCUUGAGGACUGGAGAGGAGACUGGAAUUUACGGUGUAGCGGUGAAAUGCGUAGAUAUCGUAAGGAAGACCAGUGGCGAAGGCGGGUCUCUGGACAGUUCCUGACGCUGAGGCACGAAAGCUAGGGUAGCGAACGGG